rnacentral:rRNA from 1 species
AAGAAUCUGGAGACAGGUGCUGCAUGGCUGUCGUCAGCUCGUGUCGUGAGAUGUUGGGUUAAGUCCCGCAACGAGCGCAACCCUUGCCUUUAGUUGCCAGCAGUUCGGCUGGGCACUCUAAAGGGACGCCGGUGUUAAACCGGAGGAAGGUGGGGAUGACGUCAAGUCCUCAUGGCCUUUAUGACCAGGGCUACACACGUACUACAAUGGCCGAUACAAAGGGCAGCGACACUGCGAGGUGAAGCCAAUCCCGUAAAAUCGGUCUCAGUCCGGAUUGGAGUCUGCAACUCGACUCCAUGAAGUUGGAAUCGCUAGUAAUCGUGGAUCAGCAUGCCACGGUGAAUACGUUCCCGGGCCUU